CCCCACUCAGGAUGGCACCUGGAGAGUUUGUGGUACUCUACCAGUCUUGGCUAUGGGAGGGAGAGUCAAGCAGAGGCCUACCUGUUCCAUUCCUAGCUUGACCAGUGGCUAGCGAGUGGAAGGCCAUCUGCUACAAGU
rnacentral:snoRNA from 1 species